rnacentral:rRNA from 1 species
AGGGAAACCGAGUCUUAACUGGGCGUUAAGUUGCAGGGUAUAGACCCGAAACCCGGUGAUCUAGCCAUGGGCAGGUUGAAGGUUGGGUAACACUAACUGGAGGACCGAACCGACUAAUGUUGAAAAAUUAGCGGAUGACCUGUGGCUGGGGGUGAAAGGCCAAUCAAACCGGGAGAUAGCUGGUUCUCCCCGAAAGCUAUUUAGGUAGCGCCUCGUGAACUCAUCUUCGGGGGUAGAGCACUGUUUCGGCUAGGGGGCCAUCCCGGCUUACCAACCCGAUGCAAACUACGAAUACCGAAGAAUGUUAUCACGGGAGACACACGGCGGGUGCUAACGUCCGUCGUGAAGAGGGAAACAACCCAGACCGCCAGCUAAGGUCCCAAAGUCAUGGUUAAGUGGGAAACGAUGUGGGAAGGCACAGACAGCCAGGAUGUUGGCUUAGAAGCAGCCAUCAUUUAAAGAAAGCGUAAUAGCUCACUGGUCGAGUCGGCCUGCGCGGAAGAUGUAACGGGGCUAAACCAUGCACCGAAGCUGCGGCAGCGACACUAUGUGUUGUUGGGUAGGGGAGCGUUCUGUAAGCCGU